rnacentral:rRNA from 1 species
CGCCUCUUGAAUCAGUAUAAGAGGUCCAGCCUGCCCAGUGACCCUGUUCAACGGCCGCGGUAUCCUAACCGUGCGAAGGUAGCGUAAUCACUUGUUCUUUAAAUGAGGACUAGUAUGAACGGCAUCACGAAGGUUAUACUGUCUCCUUUUUCUAAUCAGUGAAUCUAAUCUCCCCGUGAAGAAGCGGGAAUAUAACUAUAAGACGAGAAGACCCUAUGGAGCUUAAAACAACACAGCACUUGUCAAAAAACUAAACAAUUCCAGAAUUUUUAAUUUCUAGACAACAUGACUAUAAGUUUUUGGUUGGGGUGACCGCGGAGUAUAAUAUAACCUCCAUGUUGAAAGAAUUUUAUUCUAAGCCAAAAAGUACAUUUUUAAGCAUCAAUAAAUUGACAUCUAUUGACCCAAUAUACUUGAACAACGAACCAAGUUACCCUAGGGAUAACAGCGCAAUCCACUUCAAGAGCUCCUAUCGACAAGUGGGUUUACGACCUCGAUGUUGGAUCAGGGUUCCCAGUGGUGCAGCCGCUACUAAAGGUUCGUUUGUUCAACGAUUAAAACCCU